rnacentral:rRNA from 1 species
CCUACGGGAGGCAGCAGUAGGGAAUCUUCCACAAUGGACGAAAGCCUGAUGGAGCAACGCCGCGUGAGUGAAGAAGGGCUUCGGCUCGUAAAGCUCUGUUGGUAGUGAAGAAAGAUAGAGGUAGUAACUGGCCACUAUUUGACGGUAAUUACUUAGAAAGUCACGGCUAACUACGUGCCAGCAGCCGCGGUAAUACGUAGGUGGCAAGCGUUGUCCGGAUUUAUUGGGCGUAAAGCGAGUGCAGGCGGUUCCAUAAGUCUGAUGUGAAAGCCUUCGGCUCAACCGGAGACGUGCAUCAGAAACUGGUGAACUUGAGUGCAGAAGAGGAGAGUGGAACUCCAUGUGUAGCGGUGGAAUGCGUAGAUAUAUGGAAGAACACCAGUGGCGAAGGCGGCUCUCUGGUCUGCAACUGACGCUGAGGCUCGAAAGCAUGGGUAGCAAACAGGAUUAGAUACCCCAGUAGUC